rnacentral:rRNA from 1 species
UACGUAGGGACCAAGCGUUGUUCGGAUUUACUGGGCGUAAAGGGCGCGUAGGCGGCGCAAUAAGUCACUUGUGAAAUCUCCGGGCUUAACUCGGAGCGGCCAAGUGAUACUGUUGUGCUAGAGUGCAGAAAGGGCAAUCGGAAUUCUCGGUGUAGCGGUGAAAUGCGUAGAUAUCGAGAGGAACACCUGCGGCGAAGGCGGGUUGCUGGGCUGACACUGACGCUGAUGCGCGAAAGCCAGGGGAGCGAACGGG